rnacentral:rRNA from 1 species
UACGUAGGGUGCGAGCGUUAAUCGGAAUUACUGGGCGUAAAGCGUGCGCAGGCGGUUUUGUAAGGCAGGUGUGAAAUCCCCGGGCUCAACCUGGGAACUGCAUUUGGGACUGCAAGGCUUGAGUACGGCAGAGGGGGGUAGAAUUCCUGGUGUAGCAGUGAAAUGCGUAGAUAUCAGGAGGAAUACCGAUGGCGAAGGCAGCCCCCUGGGUCGAUACUGACGCUCAUGCACGAAAGCGUGGGGAGCAAACAGG